AUUGAACGCUGGCGGCAUGCCUUACACAUGCAAGUCGAACGGCAGCACGGACUUCGGUCUGGUGGCGAGUGGCGAACGGGUGAGUAAUGUAUCGGAACGUACCUUUCAGUGGGGGAUAACGUAGCGAAAGUUACGCUAAUACCGCAUAUUCUGUGAGCAGGAAAGCAGGGGAUCGCAAGACCUUGCGCUGAUUGAGCGGCCGAUAUCAGAUUAGCUAGUUGGUGGGGUAAAGGCCUACCAAGGCUACGAUCUGUAGCGGGUCUGAGAGGAUGAUCCGCCACACUGGAACUGAGACACGGUCCAGACUCCUACGGGAGGCAGCAGUGGGGAAUUUUGGACAAUGGGGGCAACCCUGAUCCAGCCAUGCCGCGUGAGUGAAGAAGGCCUUCGGGUUGUAAAGCUCUUUCGGCCGGGAAGAAAUCGCGCAGGUGAAUAAUCUGCGUGGAUGACGGUACCGUAAGAAGAAGCACCGGCUAACUACGUGCCAGCAGCCGCCGCAGUAA
rnacentral:rRNA from 1 species